GCGGGUGUAGCUCAAUGGUAGAGCAUAAGCUUCCCAAGCUUGUUACGAGGGUCCGAUUCCCUUCACCCGCUCCA
rnacentral:tRNA from 2 species